UUUUGAGAAAAAUUAUUUUUUUUUCAAAAAAAAAUAUAUUUUUGUAUUUUUGAAAAAAUUAAUUAAAUUUUUUUUAUAUUCGUAAAAAAAAAUAAUUUAAAAAUAAUUUUUUUUAUAUUCGUAAAAAAACAAUAUCAGUUUUCUAAUUUAAAAAUAAGAUUUUUUUUUAUUUUUAAAUUUUUGGAAAAAAUCGAUUUUUUGUAUUUUCAAAAAAAAAAGAUUUUUUUUCGAAAAAAAA
rnacentral:lncRNA from 1 species